rnacentral:rRNA from 1 species
CGGAGGGGUUAGCGUUGUUCGGAAUGACUGGGGCGUAAAAGACGCGCGUAGGCGGAUCGUCAAGUCGGGGGUGGAAAUCCCGGGGCGUCAACCCCGGAAACUGGCCUUCGAGACUGUCGGUCUUGAGUUCGAGAGAGGUGAGUGGAAUUCCGAGUGUAGAGGUGAAAUUACGUAGAUAUUCGGUAGGAACACCAGUGGCGGAAGGCGGCUCACUGGCUCGACACUGACGCUGAGGUGCGAAAGCGUGGGGAGCAAACAGGAUU